rnacentral:rRNA from 1 species
CCUACGGGGGGCAGCAGUGGGGAAUAUUGGACAAUGGGGGCAACCCUGAUCCAGCCAUGCCGCGUGUGUGAAGAAGGUCCUCGGGUUGUAAAGCACUUUCAGUGAGGAAGAACGCCUGGUGGUUAAUACCCAUCAGGAAAGACAUCACUCACAGAAGAAGCACCGGCUAACUCCGUGCCAGCAGCCGCGGUAAUACGGAGGGUGCGAGCGUUAAUCGGAAUUACUGGGCGUAAAGCGCGCGUAGGUGGCUUGAUAAGCCGGUUGUGAAAGCCCCGGGCUCAACCUGGGAACGGCAUCCGGAACUGUCAAGCUAGAGUGCAGGAGAGGAAGGUAGAAUUCCCGGUGUAGCGGUGAAAUGCGUAGAGAUCGGGAGGAAUACCAGUGGCGAAGGCGGCCUUAUGGACUGACACUGACACUGAGGUGCGAAAGCGUGGGUAGCAAACAGGAUUAGAUACCCCAGUAGUC